CCCUGAUCCCCUUUAGCCCACAAGGGCCACAUCUAACUCCCUCUUAAAUAUAGCCAAUGUGAACUGUGUGGCCUCGACUACCUUCUGUGGCAGAGAAUUCCACAGAUUCACCACUCUCUGUGUGUGAAAAAAAAUGUUUUUCUCAUCUCAUCUCAGUCCUAAAGGAUUUCCCCCUUAUCCUUAAACUGUGUGUGGCCCCUUGUCCUGGACUUCCCCAACAUCGGGAACAAUCUUCCUGCAUCUAGCCUGUCCAACCCCCUAAACAGGCGUUCAGACAUUUUUGCAAAGUAAUUAAAAAGAAAUAACUGAAAUAUCACAUUACAUCAGUAUUCAGACCCUUCACUCAGUACUUUGGCAGCGAUUACAGCCUCAUGUAUUCUUGGGGGUGAUGCUACAAGCUUGGCACACCUUUGUAAUUGGGUAAUUUGUGAUAUUUCAGUCAUUACUUGUUAAAUUUAUUUGCAAAAAUGUCUAUAAACACCUGUUUUCGCUUCUUCAUUCUGGGGUAUUGUGUGUGGAUUCGAUCCAUUUUAGGCAAGCGUCUCCGGAGAGAAUCCACAAACUCACCACACUGUGAGAAUCCACAGACUCACCACUCUGAGAAUCCACAGACUCACCACACUGUGAGAAUCCACAGACUCACCAUUCAGUGAGAAUCCACAGACUCACCACACUGAGAAUCCACAGACUCACCACACUGAGAAUCCACAGACUCACCACACUGUGAGAAUCCACAGACUCACCACACUGAGAAUCCACAGACUCACCACACUGAGAAUCCACAGACUCAACCAUUCAGUGAGAAUCCACAGACUCACCACACUGUGAGAAUCCACAGACUCACCACACUGUGAGAAUCCACAGGCUCACCACUCUGAGAAUCUACAGACUCAACCACUCCGUUCCUGCCUUCUCCCCAUAUCCCCUGACUCCGCUAUCUUUAAGAGCCCUAUCUAGCUCUCUCUUGAAAGCAUCCAGAGAACCGGCCUCCACCGCCCUCUGAGGCAGAGAAUUCCACAGACUCACAACUCUCUGUGAGAAAAAGUAUUUCCUCGUCUCUGUUCUAAAUGGCUUACCCCUUAUUCGUAAACUGUGUGUGUGUGGCCCCUGGUUCUGGACUCCCCCAACAUCGGGAACAUGUUUCCUGCCUCUAGCGUGUCCAAGCCCUUAACAAUCUUAUAUGUUACAAUGAGAUGCCCUCUCAUCCUUCUAAACUCCAGAGUGUACAAGCCCAGCCGCUCCACAUUCUCUCAGCAUAUGACAGUCGUGGCAUCCCGGGAAUUAACCUGGUGAACCUACGCUGCACUCCCUCAAUAGCAAGAAUGUCCUUCCUCAAAUUAGGGGACCAAAACUGCACACAAUACUCCAGGUGUGGUCUCACUAGGGCCCUGUACAACCACACACAGUAGGCCCGAGCUCUCUGAAUUAGGUUGGACCUGCUGAAGAACAUCUUUCCCAUUCACCUCCGUAAGGUGCAUUAACCAAAGAUAAACGUGGUUUUUUUUCUAAUAUAUAUAUAUAUAUUUUAGGUUAAAGUUUGUAGAUUAUUGAUCCAAUGUUUCCUCGUAGUCUUAGAUGUUGAAUGGGUUCUUUCUUUGGUGAAUGGCUUCCGUUGGGUUUUUGAGAAUAUCUCUCUGUUUGGGUUCCUUGUAGCGUUCGUUUGCGCGGUUUUUGAGUCCGGUACAUUUCGCGAUAGGCCUCUUCCAUUUCACGGGCACUCGGUUUGGUACUUGGAGGUGGAGGGCCUUCCUCAAGGGGCCUGUCCACACCGUUCGAGGUCAUUCAGGAGUUCUCUCCCCCCGAUUCCAACUCGGAGAAUUACGGUAAUGGGCCGCUCCACUCUCCGCGGACACUGUUUGAAAAAACUUCGCCGCGUUUCACGGGGACCUGCCGCUAGCGGUUUACGAGCCGCCGCGUGACGUCCACGAGCUCAGACGUACCCGCGGCGGACAUUACACCGGCUCGAAUCAGCGGGGGAGAAACUCGGGGAGAACUCGUGAAUUACCUCGCACAGUGGGACAGCCCCUCAGCCGUGUCCUGCGCUCGUAAAGGUGUCCUCGACUCUGCCUGCACAGUGAGAGACCGUGCAACACCGUCCCCGCGCCUCUCCCACCGAGUGUCUUUGUAUUUUGUUUUUUGUAGAGAAAUUAAAUGAGAUACCAGCU